rnacentral:rRNA from 1 species
UACGUAGGGUGCGAGCGUUAAUCGGAAUUACUGGGCGUAAAGCGUGCGCAGGCGGUUUUGUAAGCCAGAUGUGAAAUCCCCGGGCUUAACCUGGGAAUGGCAUUUGGGACUGCAAGGCUUGAGUGCGGCAGAGGAGACUGGAAUUCCUGGUGUAGCGGUGAAAUGCGUAGAGAUCGGGAGGAACACCAGAGGCGAAAGCGGCGACCUGGACAGGCACUGACACUCAACUACGAAAGCGUGGGGAGCAAACAGG